rnacentral:rRNA from 1 species
GACGAACGCUGGCGGCGUGCUUAACACAUGCAAGUCGAACGGAAAGGCCCUGCUUUUGUGGGGUGCUCGAGUGGCGAACGGGUGAGUAACACGUGAGUAACCUGCCCUUGACUUUGGGAUAACUUCAGGAAACUGGGGCUAAUACCGGAUAGGAGCUCCUGCUGCAUGGUGGGGGUUGGAAAGUUUCGGCGGUUGGGGAUGGACUCGCGGCUUAUCAGCUUGUUGGUGGGGUAGUGGCUUACCAAGGCUUUGACGGGUAGCCGGCCUGAGAGGGUGACCGGCCACAUUGGGACUGAGAUACGGCCCAGACUCCUACGGGAGGCAGCAGUGGGGAAUAUUGCACAAUGGGCGGAAGCCUGAUGCAGCAACGCCGCGUGCGGGAUGACGGCCUUCGGGUUGUAAACCGCUUUCGCCUGUAACGAAGCGUGAGUGACGGUAAUGGGUAAAGAAGCACCGGCUAACUACGUGCCAGCAGCCGCGGUGAUACGUAGGGUGCGAGCGUUGUCCGGAUUUAUUGGGCGUAAAGGGCUCGUAGGUGGUUGAUCGCGUCGGAAGUGUAAUCUUGGGGCUUAACCCUGAGCGUGCUUUCGAUACGGGUUGACUUGAGGAAGGUAGGGGAGAAUGGAAUUCCUGGUGGAGCGGUGGAAUGCGCAGAUAUCAGGAGGAACACCAGUGGCGAAGGCGAUUCUCUGGGCCUUUCCUGACGCUGAGGAGCGAAAGCGUGGGGAGCGAACAGGCUUAGAUACCCUGGUAGUCCACGCUGUAAACGGUGGGUACUAGGUGUGGGGUCCAUUCCACGGGUUCCGUGCCGUAGCUAACGCUUUAAGUACCCCGCCUGGGGAGUACGGCCGCAAGGCUAAAACUCAAAGGAAUUGACGGGGCCCCGCACAAGCGGCGGAGCAUGCGGAUUAAUUCGAUGCAACGCGUAGAACCUUACCUGGGUUUGACAUGGAUCGGGAGUGCUCAGAGAUGGGUGUGCCUCUUUUGGGGUCGGUUCACAGGUGGUGCAUGCCUGUCGUCAGCUCGUGUCGUGAGAUGUUGGGUUAAGUCCCGCAACGAGCGCAACCCUUGUUCACUGUUGCCAGCACGUUAUGGUGGGGACUCAGUGGAGACCGCCGGGGUCAACUCGGAGGAAGGUGGGGAUGACGUCAAGUCCUCAUGCCCCUUAUGUCCAGGGCUUCACGCAUGCUACAAUGGCUGGUACAGAGAGUGGCGAGCCUGUGAGGGUGAGCGAAUCUCGGAAAGCCGGUCUCAGUUCGGAUUGGGGUCUGCAACUCGACCUCAUGAAGUCGGAGUCGCUAGUAAUCGCAGAUCAGCAACGCUGCGGUGAAUACGUUCCCGGGGCUUGUACACACCGCCCGUCAAGUCAUGAAAGUUGGUAACACCCGAAGCCGGUGGCCUAACCGUUGUGGGGGAGCCGUCGAAGGUGGGACUGGU